GAUGAACGCUGGCGGCGUGCCUAAUACAUGCAAGUCGAGCGAACAGACGAGGAGCUUGCCCCUCUGACGUUAGCGGCGGACGGGUGAGUAACACGUGGAUAACCUACCUAUAAGACUGGGAUAACUUCGGGAAACCGGAGCUAAUACCGGAUAAUAUAUUGAACCGCAUGGUUCAAUAGUGAAAGACGGUUUUGCUGUCACUUAUAGAUGGAUCCGCGCCGCAUUAGCUAGUUGGUAAGGUAACGGCUUAACAAGGCAACGAUGCGUAGCCGACCUGAGAGGGUGAUCGGCCACACUGGAACUGAGACACGGUCCAGACUCCUACGGGAGGAAGCAGUAGGGAAUCUUCCGCAAUGGGGGAAAGCCUGACGGAGCAACGCCGCGUGAGUGAUGAAGGUCUUCGGAUCGUAAAACUCUGUUAUUAGGGAAGAACAAAUGUGUAAGUACCCAUGCACGUCUUGACGGUACCUAAUCAGAAAGCCACGGCUAACUACGUG
rnacentral:rRNA from 1 species